UACGUAGGGUGCAAGCGUUAAUCGGAAUUACUGGGCGUAAAGCGUGCGCAGGCGGUUAUGCAAGACCGAUGGGAAAUCCCCGGGCUCAACCUGGGAACUGCAUUUGUGACUGCAUGGCUAGAGUACGGUAGAGGGGGAUGGAAUUCCGCGUGUAGCAGUGAAAUGCGUAGAUAUGCGGAGGAACACCGAUGGCGAAGGCAAUCCCCUGGACCUGUACUGACGCUCAUGCACGAAAGCGUGGGGAGCAAACAGG
rnacentral:rRNA from 1 species